rnacentral:rRNA from 1 species
UACAGAGGUCUCAAGCGUUGUUCGGAAUUACUGGGCGUAAAGGGCGCGUAGGCGGUUCGUUAAGUCCUGUGUGAAAUCCCCCCGGCUCAACUGGGGAACUGCACAGGAAACUAGCGGGCUUGAGUUCGGGAGAGGGGAGCGUGGAAUUCCUGGUGGAGCGGUGAAAUGCGCAGAUAUCAGGAAGAACACCCGUGGCGAAGGCGGCUCUCGUGGGACGGUACUGACGCUGAGACGCGAAAGCGUGGGGAGCGAACAGG